GACUACAUCACUGACAGUAUCGCCGACUGCCAGGCCACCAUCAUGCAGCUGGAGGAGACCAAGGAGGAGCUGGACUCCACCGACACCUCCGUGGUGAUCAGCUCCUGCUCCUUGGCCGAGGCGCGCCUCCUGCUGGACAACUUCCUCAAGGCAUCCAUCGAUAAGGGGCUGCAGGUGGCUCAGAAAGAAGCCCAGAUUCGCCUGCUGGAAGGGCGCCUGAGACAAACGGAUGUGACCAGCUCCUCCCAGA